AUGAGAUUUCCCAUUUCUUUAAGAAAGUAAGAUCCCUGAAAGAAGAUCAGGUAGAUAGGUUUGGAGUGGAAGUAUGGUGACAUAUGGAGCGGACAAAUACUAAUCGAUCGAGGACUUAACCAAU
rnacentral:rRNA from 1 species